UUACGGCCAUAUCUGGUUGAAACAUUGGUUCGCGUCCGAUCACCGAAGUUAAGCAACGUCGAGCUUGGUUAAUACCUAGAUGGGUAACAAUUUGAUAAUGGCGGGUUCUGUA